UACGUAGGGGGCUAGCGUUGUCCGGAAUCAUUGGGCGUAAAGAGCGUGUAGGCGGUCCGGUAAGUCCGCUGUGAAAGUCGGGGGCUCAACCCUCGAAUGCCGGUGGAUACUGUCGGGCUAGAGUGCGGAAGAGGCGAGUGGAAUUCCUGGUGUAGCGGUGAAAUGCGCAGAUAUCAGGAGGAACACCGGUGGCGAAGGCGGAUCUCUGGGCCAUUACUGACGCUGAGGAGCGAAAGCGUGGGGAGCGAACAGG
rnacentral:rRNA from 1 species